UUCCGGUUGAUCCCGCCGGAGGUUACUGCUAUCGAGGUUCGACUAAGCCAUGCGAGUCGAAUGUAGCAAUACAUGGCGAACUGCUCAGUAACACGUGGACAACCUGCCCUUAGGUUGGGUAUAAACCCGGGAAACUGGGUAUAAUACCCGAUAGGUCUCGAUUGCUGGAAUGCAUCGAGAUUUAAAGCUCCGGCGCCUAAGGAUGGGUCUGCGGCCUAUCAGGUAGUAGUGGGUGUAGCGUACCUACUAGCCUACGACGGGUACGGGUUGUGAGAGCAAGAGCCCGGAGAUGGAUUCUGAGACACGAAUCCAGGCCCUACGGGGUGCAGCAGGCGCGAAAACUUUACAAUGCUGGCAACAGCGAUAAGGGAACCUCGAGUGCCAGGUUACAAAUCUGGCUGUCGAGAUGCCUAAAAAGCAUUUCAUAGCAAGGGCCGGGCAAGACCGGUGCCAGCCGCCGCGGUAACACCGGCGGCUCGAGUGGUAACCGUUAUUAUUGGGUCUAAAGGGUCUGUAGCCGGCCGGAUAAGUCUCUUGAGAAAUCUGGCAGCUUAACUGUCAGGCUUUCAGGAGAUACUGUCUGGCUCGAGGCCGGGAGAGGUGAGAGGUACUUCAGGGGUAGGGGUGAAAUCUUGUAAUCCUUGAAGGACCACCAGUGGCGAAGGCGUCUCACCAGAACGGACCUGACGGCAAGGGACGAAAGCUAGGGGCACGAACCGGAUUAGAUACCCGGGUAGUCCUAGCCGUAAACGAUACUCGCUAGGUGUCGGCCACGGUGCGACCGUUGUCGGUGCCGUAGGGAAGCCGUGAAGCGAGCCACCUGGGAAGUACGGCCGCAAGGCUGAAACUUAAAGGAAUUGGCGGGGGAGCACCACAACGGGUGGAGCUUGCGGUUUAAUUGGAUUCAACGCCGGA
rnacentral:rRNA from 2 species